rnacentral:hammerhead_ribozyme from 1 species
ACACUGUUGAAGAGUGCCACAAUAGGACGAAAUGGCCGUUCAGUGU